GGCUAUAGAUAAUGCUAUAUCUAGCGAGCGUGAUUACAAGGGGUGAAGGCUUGCGCCGGGAAAAUGUGGAAAACUCAGUCAGUCGGGUCGGGCACGCGCGGGAGGCUGGUGCGUCAACCGCCAUUUCAUUUGACGGCAGCAUGAAACUUUAAGUCUGUUUUUCAAUCAUAUCUUGAGGCAAAGGUGUCGAAAUAAAUUUGUUGUGCACUAAUUUACAAUAUAAUCUAUUAUUCGAAGUAAUUUCUCGGUUGUGGACUCACAAGUGGCAAAAUACUAGUGGCGGGAAACCGUUUGAUAUCUCACUUGACGUGUUGUGUCCUAUGUGUACAUAGAGAGCGGAGCCGUCUGCCCUAGAGGGCGGCCGACAUGCUGGAUUCGUCGUGAAUCGAUAUUUUUGGACCGUUGUAGAGCUUAAAUUAUGAGUUUUGGAGCUUAAUAAAGGACAAAGGAUGGAAAAUGAGAAAGGUGGACAAUGACAACAUGUCCCCGCCGCGUGCGAUGACCCUGCUGGGCGCCGGGGGUCGCGAGCCGCCGGCGGGGUCCGCCCGGCACCACGCGCCCCUAGACCCGCCAUCGCCACGUUUCAUGAAAAACAUAACGCUUAUUAGGUUAUAUCUACAAUUCACAUGUGUCGUGUCACAUCUGAACGACGCCAUGCCGCGGGUGCGUGCGAACUUUAAUUUACCAAAGCGUCCACUAGUGAAGUUAAAAGUGUACGAGUAUCUAUCACAAUUUCGAACUAGUGUAUUUAUUAAAUCGUUGUUAGUGACUACUGUAGUGCAAUUAUUCGUUGUUGCCAAGUGUAUAGUGAGUGUGCGUAAAUACAGGAGCGCGGUGUUGCUGCUGCUGUUAUGUGGGUUGUGUAAAUACAGUGAUGGGAAGCGUGAUGAUGACUUGCACAUUGGUGGGAUAUUCCCCAUGGAGGGCGAGGGCGGCUGGCAGGGCGGCCAGGCGUGCAAGCCGGCCGCUGAGCUGGCACUCGCCGAUGUCAACGCGAGAUCCGAUCUCUUGUCUGGGUUUAAGCUACUUCUACAUAGCAACGACAGCAAGUGUGAACCUGGGCUUGGCGCGAGUGUGAUGUACAAUCUGCUGUACAACCCGCCGCAGAAGCUGCUUCUAUUGGCCGGCUGUUCCACCGUGUGCACCACUGUGGCCGAGGCGGCUAAAAUGUGGAAUCUUAUGGUUCUAUGUUACGGUGCUUCGUCACCAGCGCUGUCAGACCGGGCGCGGUUCCCCACACUGUUCCGCACGCAUCCAUCUGCGACGGUGCACAAUCCUACGAGAAUAAAACUCAUGCAGAAGUUCGGCUGGUCACGCAUCGCGAUACUACAGCAAGCCGAGGAAGUUUUUAUAUCAACCGUGGAGGACCUCGAAGCACACUGUAAGAAAGUAGGAAUAGAGAUAGUAACCCGCCAAUCAUUCUUGUCGGACCCGAGCGACGCGGUGCGGAAUCUCCGAAGACAAGACGCAAGGGUCAUCGUCGGCCUCUUCUAUGUAGUGGCAGCAAGGAGAGUGCUCUGCGAAGUCUACAAACACAAACUAUACGGAAAAUCGUACGUCUGGUUUUUUAUUGGAUGGUAUGAAGAUAACUGGUUUGAGACCAACCUAGAACGGGAAGGCUUAGACUGCACGGCAGAGCAGAUGCGAGAAGCUGCGGAGGGUCACCUCACUACCGAAGCUCUCAUGUGGAAUCAAAAUGCGAAUCAGACCACGAUAUCUGGGAUGACGUCUGAAGACUUUCGAUCACGGUUGAACGAGGCGCUGCGGGAAGCCGGUUAUAACAUUGACGGCGAGAGAUUUCCUGAGGGGUAUCAAGAGGCGCCUCUGGCCUACGACGCUGUAUGGUCCGUUGCUUUAGCUUUCAACAAAACAAUGGAGAAAUUAGAGAAGAAUGGCUUGAGCUUGAAGAAUUUCACGUACACCAAUAAGAAAAUUGCGGACGACAUUUACGAAGCAAUAAACUCCACGUCGUUUCUAGGUGUGUCGGGUUUGGUGGCGUUCUCCUCUCAAGGAGAUCGCAUAGCGUUGACACAGAUAGAGCAGCUGACGGACAACCAUUACGUGAAGUUGGGAUACUACGACACACAGGCUGACAACCUUACGUGGCUAGACAGGGAGCGAUGGGUUGGUGGUAAGGUGCCGCCAGACCGCACGGUGGUUGUCAACGAGCUGCGGACAGUAUCGCUACCACUCUUCGCCUGUAUGACUGCGCUAUGCAUCGCUGGAGUUUUGGCCGCCAUAGCUUUAAUAGUAUUCAAUAUCCUGCACAGGCACAGAAGGGUUAUCCAAUGGUCGCAUCCUGCUUGCAACACGGUGAUGCUCUGUGGUUGCUGCAUAUGCUUCGGCGCCGCCAUUGCUCUCGGCCUCGACGGCAGAUGGGUGGAGCCGGAUCACUUCUCCGGGUUGUGCGCCGCGCGCGCCUGGUUGCUGGCAACCGGUUUCUCCAUGGCCUACGGUGCUAUGUUCACUAAAGUUUGGCGCGUACAUCGGCACACAACCAAACCAAAAGUGGAGACGAAGAAACGUAUGCACGGCUGGAAGCUGUAUACAAUGGUGGGCGGGCUACUCGCUGUAGAUGUGGCGUUGCUGACCGCGUGGCAGAUACGCGAUCCUCUGCAGCGGCGCGUCGAGAUAUUCCCCCUGGAAGCGCCGCGUCAUCACGACGAUGACGUGCACAUACGACCCGAGCUGGAACACUGUGAAAGCGAGCACAAUACCGUCUGGCUUGGAGUCAUGUACGGAUACAAGGGUUUGGUGCUAGUGUUCGGACUGUUCCUCGCAUAUGAGACACGAUCAGUCAAGGUGCGCCAGAUCAACGACUCGCGCUACGUCGGCAUGAGCAUCUACAACGUGGUGGUGUUAUGCCUCAUCACCGGCCCGGUCACGUUGGUCAUCGCCAGCCAGCAGGACGCCGCCUUCGCCUUCGUGUCCCUCGCGAUUGUCUUCUGCUGCUUCCUUAGCAUGGCCCUCAUAUUCAUUCCUAAGGUUAUCGAGGUUAUACGUCACCCGACAGAACGUCCAGAAAGUGGUCGGGGUUCCGGAUCUGGAUCUGCCCCAGCUGACGAAGAACGUUAUCGUGAACUUGUUAAAGAGAAUGAGGAACUGCAGAAACUAAUCGCACAGAAAGAGGAGCGAAUCCGUGUCCUAAAGCAAAAAUUGGCGGAGCGUGAGGCAGCGGCAGCGGAUGGUGUCACCCAAGGUACGGGCGCAGUGAUAGCGGAUCUCGCCACUGCCACUUCCGACUACGGCACCUCCACCAACUACACCCGCUCCUCGCGAGCAUCAGUCUCCGACCUUGACUUCUCCGAGAGCUACCUAUAAAUCCCUUAGCUUUAUGUCAUUGACUGUUGUAGAUGAUCAAACGCUGCUGUUAAGUCACGAAAAAUAAAACUUCACUUAAUCAAAAUUAACCACAUCAUUGUCGCAGCUUUAUCGCAUCUAAGUUUCUAUGUGGAUUAAAUUAAUAAUAAAAAGACUACAUAAUCCAAAUAAUGCUUGCAUAAUAUUCCCAAUUAAAUAUAUAUACAUGCUAUCCCCUUUCUUUCAUCUCAAGUAUUAUUAAAUUUCGAUACCUAUUUACAAAAUUCCCUGACUAACUUACUUAAAUCCAACUACAUAAAAUUUUGCUUAAACAUAAUCCAUUCUACCCCUUUUAUUACAUAGGAUAGCUAUUAAGGUAAAUAAAAUAAGUUGAAAACCGUAAUCCAGUACAUUUCAGUUACAACUCGGUUUCUAAUAUUCGAUAAAUAAUGUUGUGGUGAUCUGGUUUCUUGUUUCAUCUUAUUAAAAAUAACAUUUGGCUUCUCAUUUUGUCGUUAUUUUAUAUUAAAUUCACUCAAAAUUUUGUUGAAGGUAUGAAAAACAGAAAAAACUACUUAAAAAACUUCUCAAACUGUGUCCGUUUUAAAACGUUACGCUACAAAUAUUCGUUUUCUGGAUAUCGGUAAUAACAUUGUGCUAAAAUCGAUCAUAAAAAUAUUAAAUUUGCAAAUAGUUUUAAAAACUUUUGAAAAUGUUAUUAAACUUUAGAAAUAAGUUUAUUCUUUAUCGUGAUGUCCACACCUGAUCCCAUGUCGCUCCUUGUUGUUCCUCAGCCUGGAUACUACCUCACAAAUCGUGACAAUUUGCACGUGUUCCCUUGUGUAUUGUACAUACCCUAUCUUUAACUCUCACUAGACUGACUUAGAUUUACUAUUAGAUUAGGGAGCUACACGAAAAAUCUCAUUGUUUGUACAAGACCUACUUUAGCUACAUAUACUCUCUACUAACGCCAUUGUAAUGGCACUAACUUUAGUAUACUUUGUCUAUUCACUACAACGAUUUCUUUAUGCUUUUUAAAUGUUUAAUACAUAAUGUUAAGAUUUACACGAAUGUCUUCAAAUUUGACACUUUUAAAUUUAAUUAGCACCAAUUUAAAUUUAGAUUAUAGAUUAAUGAUGUCGUUGACAAAAUGAUAAUUUAUGUGAAACGUUAUUUAUUUAUAGACUAUAAUAUCGACCAUGUUCAUUGAACUGUUCAGUGUUCACGCUAUUCAUGUUUUUGUUAUUUUUUAGAUGCGUAGUGUUUUUGUUCGAGUUCAUGCAGUCAAAUCUCGUUAAAUGCAUAAUUUAUAAAGUAACACUAAAAUUUCAUGUAUAUAAUUUAAGUUUGUCAUUUAAAAUACAAUCUUUUAAAAUGUUAAUUGGUAAUGUUUUCUUUUCAAAAUUGACUUAAAAUGAGGAGAGAGAUCAUAAAGUUGCAACUGGCGUUGUGACUCGCAAUAUGUCGAGAGUUCUGAAUGUUAAGGCUGUAUGUCCAAGAUGAACAAAUUUAAUCGCCGAUGAUUCCACGGUUUUGUUAUAGUGUUAUUUAAUAAAUACCAAAUUAUAUAAAUACAAUAUUAUUGAUAGGCCACUUUCU
rnacentral:misc_RNA from 1 species